UACGUAGGGUGCAAGCGUUAAUCGGAAUUACUGGGCGUAAAGCGUGCGCAGGCGGUUUUGUAAGUCAGAUGUGAAGUCCCCGGGCUUAACCUGGGAACUGCGUUUGAAACUACAAGGCUAGAGUGUGGCAGAGGGGGGUGGAAUUCCACGUGUAGCAGUGAAAUGCGUAGAGAUGUGGAGGAACACCGAUGGCGAAGGCAGCCCCCUGGGUUAACACUGACGCUCAGGCACGAAAGCGUGGGGAGCAAACAGG
rnacentral:rRNA from 1 species